rnacentral:rRNA from 1 species
UACGUAGGGUGCAAGCGUUGUCCGGAAUUAUUGGGCGUAAAGAGCUCGUAGGCGGUCUGUCGCGUCGGCUGUGAAAACCUGGGGCUCAACCCCGGGCCUGCAGCCGAUACGGGCAGACUAGAAUUCGGUAGGGGAGACUGGAAUUCCUGGUGUAGCGGUGAAAUGCGCAGAUAUCAGGAGGAACACCGGUGGCGAAGGCGGGUCUCUGGGCCGGAUAUUGACGCUGAGGAGCGAAAGCGUGGGGAGCAAACAGG